UUAAAUAUAUGUAAGGGAAUCACAGGUCAUUUAUACUCUCAAUCAUGUUGGUAUAUAUUUGAUUCUUCUUCUCUCUCUCUCUCUAUAUAUAUAUAUACAUAUAAACCCUUACACAUCUUUCUUAUUUUUUCAGAUAUUAAAAUGAAAAUUCCAAGGCUUUUGAGUAUAUAUGUAGUGAUGUGAUGAUGACAAGGAGAGGAUUUAUUCCAUGAACACAAAAUGGAGAAAUACUUGAAGUUGGCGCAAUCAUUUGCAUUUGUAUGGGGAUUCAUCUUGCUGGUGGCUCUCGUGUGUUGCUGCAUCAGCACCAAACCUGAUCGGGAAAACGAUGACGAUGCUAGCUGUGCCGGCUGCGACGGAGGACAUACUGCUUUUUAGUCUAGGUUUUAAUCAUCCUCUGUUUCCUUCUUUUGCUUUUGUUCUUUAGUCCUCUGGUUUUAGGGUGUUUUGGUAGAUUUGCUGUACACACAUUGACACAUAUCGUCAUGGAUUAUCAUCUUUUUUUGUCAAUUGUCAUAAUUCGUUGGUUACGAACUUACGCAUAACCAUUUUUGUAAUUUUCUUUUUUUAAAUAUAG
rnacentral:lncRNA from 1 species